rnacentral:rRNA from 1 species
GCGUGCCUAAUACAUGCAAGUCGAGCGAACAGAAGGGAGCUUGCUCCCGGAUGUUAGCGGCGGACGGGUGAGUAACACGUGGGUAACCUGCCUGUAAGACUGGGAUAACUCCGGGAAACCGGAGCUAAUACCGGAUAGUUCCUUGAACCGCAGGGUUCAAGGAUGAAAGACGGUUUCGGCUGUCACUUACAGAUGGACCCGCGGCGCAUUAGCUAGUUGGUGGGGUAAUGGCUCACCAAGGCGACGAUGCGUAGCCGACCUGAGAGGGUGAUCGGCCACACUGGGACUGAGACACGGCCCAGACUCCUACGGGAGGCAGCAGUAGGGAAUCUUCCGCAAUGGACGAAAGUCUGACGGAGCAACGCCGCGUGAGUGAUGAAGGUUUUCGGAUCGUAAAGCUCUGUUGUUAGGGAAGAACAAGUGCGAGAGUAACUGCUCGCACCUUGACGGUACCUAACCAGAAAGCCACGGCUAACUACGUGCCAGCAGCCGCGGUAAUACGUGGGUGGCAAGCGUUGUCCGGAAUUAUUGGGCGUAAAGGGCUCGCAGGCGGUUUCUUAAGUCUGAUGUGAAAGCCCCCGGCUCAACCGGGGAGGGUCAUUGGAAACUGGGAAACUUGAGUGCAGAAGAGGAGAGUGGAAUUCCACGUGUAGCGGUGAAAUGCGUAGAGAUGUGGAGGAACACCAGUGGCGAAGGCGACUCUCUGGUCUGUAACUGACGCUGAGGAGCGAAAGCGUGGGGAGCGAACAGGAUUAGAUACCCUGGUAGUCCACG